GUUGGUCUGAUUAAACUGAGACCAUUCUCUGACUUCCUAAGCUCUCAGACAACUUAGGAACCAAUACACACUGCACAUGUCUCUUUCUGAAAUGUUCUCCGCCUUAGUUUUUAUGAGAGAGUGAAAGCACAGUUCUGUAAUAUAUGAAGAAAUCUGUGGAUUCUGUAGAGACAGGAACAGCGUGACAUAAAUCUCAGGAAGGCAUCUUAUUUCACAAAUUUCCCAUUUGAUUCCUGCUAUUGUGUGAGGCUGGGCUCUUCAUCUCUAUCAAAAUCAGUCUGGAAGCCUUCUGAGAUUGCCUCUAGAAAAGCCAAUACUCCCGCGGAUUGGACCACAGAUGCUCCUACUUACCUGUGGUGACCCUGGAUUCUGUACAACUGAUUUGUUGAUACAGAAGAGAGUCAUGCAAACUACAGAAAUCCACCCAAAACCGAGAGAAGGAGAGUAUCUGUUUUCAGAGGAGCUGUCUGCUUUGGGAGGAAGUUCCAGAAGUGAGCCUCAGGAAUUACAACAUUAAUUGAGAAACUGAAUGAUUAAAAUUGUAGUAACAAAUAGCUUUCCUUGGAACUGUCCCAGAAUCUAUUAUUUUUUUUUCCUUUUCUGUCAUUAACAAAAACACCAACAAAAAUCAUCAUGUGUGAAAGAGGUACUAUAAUAAAAACCCUAGCAGUGUCUACUGCGUGCUUCGUGCAAGGUAUCCAUGAUGGUCUUAACUCACCACAGAAGAACUUGGGGGAGUGUGGUCAAUGCCAGGGGUUCACGGGGAAAAAUGAAGUUGUCCACAGGUUGACCUCCUUUUUGCACCACUGGGAAUUACUCUUUGCAUAAGAAAAUACUGCCUAUUGGAAAUGGGAGGUGAAAUUACACAUUGGACAAAUGGGGCAGAAAUUGACCCAGAGGUUUUUAUUUUUCUGUGUUGCUCCUUGUCCCUAAAUACACUGAAAAUUCUUGACAUUCAUACAGUAUUUUCUCUUUCAUCCAAGCACCCAGUUCACUGGUGAUGCACAGGAAAGAAUUGUUGAUGUUCUUUGGGCUUGUGUGGGAACUAAGGUGAUAGAUACUUGUAUUUAAUGAAUGAUGAGUCUGUGGCAAAUGCCUUGGAAAGUGCUACAUAUACAUCACCUAUUUAAUCCUCAGAACCAUUCUCUGGGGUCAAAAUUAUUGGUCCCAAUUUACAGCUGGGAAUGUCG
rnacentral:lncRNA from 10 species